rnacentral:lncRNA from 1 species
GCUCAGUCCAUAGAGCUUGGGUGAGGCUGAACCAUCUUCCGAUACAAGGGUGAUCACAUGACCCAGCACCCACCAAAGGAGUCCAGCCCCUGGCCUCAUUGAUUGGUUCCAGGAUAGGCAGGUGACCAAGGUUUGGUCAAUUAGAACAUUUCAGCUCUCUAACUACACUGAUUGGCUUUGGGAUGGGCACAUGACCAAGUUGGUCCAAUCGGAGCCAACCCAGGGACAUUUUCCUGGAGCGGCUGGGAAAGAGGAGUCUCUCGAAAUUCAGCAACUGCUAACAGCGAGGAGGGGUUUUGAAAGGUAAAGGCCAUUAGCUUGGAGGCAGAAGACAGACCUCCCUGACUGCUGAAUUCCUGCCGGCCUGAAAUUGGAGCAUUCCAAGCUCCUCAGAUGAGUCAUAAGCCACCAAGAUUGUGAGCCUCUGGGUGCUAGCCAGGAUCACUCCCUCCGAAGUCACACCAGAGGGAGGGCUGGAGGGAGAAUCAAAUGAAAGAGAGAGGGAGAGAAAGGAAGGAAGAGAAGGAGGGAGAAUGGAAGGAUGUAUGGAUUUGGAUGUAUGGGUUCCAUUCCUUCUACCCUGGCAAAAGCUUACUCAUCCUUCAGUGUCCAUCCAAAAUGGCAUCUCUUCUUGGGCACCAUCUCCAGAGUCUCCUGCAAGCAGGUAGCUACAUCCCACAAAACAACCACCCAUCUGACCAUGCAAGUGUGUGGGGGAAUGAAGACCAGCCCAGGAAUCUGAGAUGAAUGUUUUGCUUCUUGCUCUGCCACUGACUCACAGGGUACCCCAAGCAAGUCCCUUCACCUCCUCGGUCUCAGUUUCUCCAUUUAUACUACUAAGGCAGUGGACAUGAUGGCCUCAAGUCUCAACAUUUUUAUUCCCUGAAAAGAAACUCUUGGUGCUGAGUGGUCUUCUUCUGCCCUGACAUCUCACCUUUCAAACGCUUGUCUCUUCUCACCCCACCCACCACUUAGCAUGUGCUCUUGGAGAACACCCAGGACUCAGGGUCUCUGCACACAUCAUGAGUCCAGCUCAGCAUUUGAGGUGGAAUCAGAGGAAAGGAAGGAGAGUGGGGAGAAUAGUCAGUAUUUUGGCAAGCUCAUCAUACCUUCCCCCUUUGUAUAGAAACUUCAAACCAUUUCCCUUUGAAGGCACUACCUCCUUCCCCCAGUUAUAAAUGAGUGAAGGUCUCAAGCCUGGACAACCAAAUGCACAGUGAUUGGUUCAACUCUGGACCUGUGACUCAAGCCAGACCAAGGGAGUGACAUGCAGGGCUUUGCCUGGAACUAUUCUGAAAGGGGCACUCUCUUUCUGCUGGGCUACUGAUAAUAUGUGCAUCCGUGAUAGAAGAGCCUGCCUGAUAAUAAAGCCAAUAAGGGAAGAGCAGAGCCAAGAGAUGGUGGGAGAGCAGAUGCCUGAAAAUAUCAUUUGAGCCCCUGGGUCCAGCUGCACCUGAAGCCACCACGAUCUCCUGGACUUUGCAGUUACUUGAGUUCAUAAAUACCCUUUGGCAUUAAGCCAGAUUGAGUCUUAAUGCAUAUAGAAAUAAGAGAAAUGAGAAAAGAAAUUGAAAAGAGAGACAGCAGAGAACUGAUUCUCUACUAGAGCCUCCAGAAGGAAUCAACUCUGCCAACACCUUGAUUUUGGACUUGUGGCCUUCAGAACAGUGAAAUGAUAAACAUCUGUUAUUUUAAGGUACCUAGUGUGUAACAUUCCGUCAUGACAGCCCUAGGAAAUGAAUACAGCGAGGAAAAUCCUACCAGCACAAAGGCAUGGAGGUGCCAGGAUGUCUCCUCUGCGUGAAGAGUAGAUGUAGAUGAGGCUGGAAUUAUCUAUCCUAGCUGCCCAGACCCAUGUGCCUUUGUUUUAUGUAGUUACAGCACCUAUGAUACAUAUUUGUUACCAUGUAUGUCACUAUGAACCUCCUCUGGAGGACGGAGAAGUCAAAUACCUUAAUUAUUCCAACACAAGCUUGCGUGAACAGAUAAUCAUCACUACGAGUAUAUUGUGUGCCUGCUAAGCACCACACCUGAGAUAAGCAUUUGCUGUGGUUUGAAUGUCCCCUCCAAAGCUCAUGCUAAAAUUUAAUUGCCAUUGCAACAGUGUUGCAAGGUGAGAACUUUAAGAGAUGAUCAGGUCAUGAGAACUCUGCCCUCGUGAAUGGAUUAAUACCCUUAUCGCAGUAGUGGACCCCCCUUUUCUCUUGCUGUCUGUCUCUCAUGUUAGCUUGUGCUUCCUCCUUUCACCAUGGGAUAACACAGCAAGAAGCCCCUCACCAGAUGCUGGCACCUUGCUAUUGGACUUCCGGCCUCCAGAACUGAGAAAUACAUGUCUUUUCCUUAUAAAUUACCCAGUCUGUGGUAUUCUGUUAUAGCGGCAGAAAAUGGACUAAGACGGCAUUUUGCAUACAUUAUCUGUCUUAUUAAAAAUAAUGUUUUUGCCCAGGAACAUAGAUUCAAGUUGCCCUGAAUAUACAUUAUCUCCCUACAUUAUCUCUUUUAAUCCUCACCUAUUAGGUAGAUAAACUGCUAUUAUCCCCAUUUUGCAGGUGAAACCUCAAGCUCCCAAAGAACUGCAGCAUCGAGGAAAGUAAAACCAAUAGCUAGCAUGUUCAGUAGUCCCCUUUACCCAUGGUACAAUACAGUACGCUAAGAUAUUCUGAGAAAGUGAGAGGCCGCAUUCACGUAUCUUUUAUCGCAGUAUAUUGUUACAAUUGUUGUAUUUUAUUCGUUAUUGUUGUUAGUCUCUUAUUGUGCCUAAUUUAUAAAUUAAGCUUUACCACAGGCAUGUGUGUAUAGGAAAAAACAGUACGGAUGCUCCUCAACUCACAAUAGGGUUAUGUCCUGAUAAACCCUUCGUUCAGUUGAAAAGAUCUUUAAGUUGAAAAUGCAUUUAAUACCUCUAACCUACCAAACAUCAGAGCUUAGCCUAGCAUACCUUAAACAUCCUCAAAACACUUACACUAGCCUACAGUUGAAAAAAAAUCGUCUAACACAAAACCUAUUUUCUAACAAAGCACUGAAUAUCUCAUCUCUUAAUUUUAAUUUUUUUUUUUCUGAGUAACAGGCUGCUCUGUUACUCAGGCUGGAGUGCAGUGGCAUGAUCAUAGCUCACUGCAACCCUGAACUCCUGGGCUCAGGCCAUCCUCCCACCUCAGCCUCCUGAGUAGCUAGGAUACAAGUGCGUGCCACCACACCUGGCUAAUCUUUUAAUUUUUAUUUUUGUAGAGACGAGGUACUGUUUCCCAGGGUGGUCUUGAACUCCUGGCCUCAAGUGAUCCUCCCACCUUGGCCUCCCAAAGUGCUGGGAUUACAGGCGUGAACCACUGUGCCCAGCUUCUUCUUAUAUAUUGAAUACUGUACUUAAAGUAAAAAAUUGAAUGGUUGUAUGGGUACUGUAAGUAUGUUUUCUGCUGAAUGCAUAUCACUCUCACACCAUUGUAAAGUCAGAAAAUUAUAAGUCUAACCAUCAUAUGUUGGGGACCAUCUGUGUAUUACUAUCCAUGGUUUUAAGCAUCCACUAAAAGUCUUGAAAUGUAUCCCCCUCAGGUCAGGGGACACUGCUGUAAUAAUAAAAACAGCUUGCACUUCCACAAGAUUCAGACGUGCCAGAUAGUGGUCUAAGAGCUUUGCAUGCAUGUUAAUUCAUUUCACUCUCACAGUAACCUGAUGAGGGACUUACUAUGAUUCUUCCCAUUUUACAGGUGAGGAAACAGAAAUAAAAAGACACUAAGGGCUUGCUCAAGCUUGAGCUGGAAUUUGCACCCCGGCAGCCUCACUCUAGCUGCCUGUUACUUACUGCAGGCCUGUCGGGUGCCAGGCACUGUGCUGAGCAUUCUACAUAUUUCAUCCUCCCAGCCUCUCAGUGACCAAGUGCAGAAACCUGUGACCAUUUCAUACUGAAUAUUUGAAGGAUAAGCAAGUGAUCGUGGCACACAAAGGGACACUUACUUUGGUGCUUCCUUCAUCCUUAUUUGGUUUUGGACACAUUCCCUGCCUAACUCACCAGACUCCCCAAGGGCAUGGAACAUGUCUAAUGGAGCCUCGGAUCCCGCAUGUAUUGCACGGUUCCUGGCACGUAGUAGAUGCACAUGUUUUCGAACUGACCCAUCAUCUACAUGCGCUCUUGCAUGUGACAUGUCCUGGGAGGCCUCCUCAUCUCAUGACUGCCACAGCCAUGCUCACUGCCCAGGGCACCAGAAGGCAGAAGGCUGGUGAAGCGAUUUGGCUGAAUUCACUGCCUCCCUCUUGACGGAGGGGCUGAGGUGAGGAGGGAGAGGUGGCAGCAGGAUCCACUCCACUCCAAUGGUGCCCAGAUAGACCUAUACAUCACCCAACACAAAUAGAGCCACUCUGAGCAGUAUUGAGCGGAGUGCAGGCAGACAGUGCAAGGGAAGCUGGCCUCUUCAUCCA